rnacentral:rRNA from 1 species
GACGAACGCUGGCGGCGUGCCUAAUACAUGCAAGUAGAACGCACAGUUUAUACCGUAGCUUGCUACACCAUAGACUGUGAGUUGCGAACGGGUGAGUAACGCGUAGGUAACCUGCCUGGUAGCGGGGGAUAACUAUUGGAAACGAUAGCUAAUACCGCAUAAUAUUGAUUAUCGCAUGAUAAUUAAUUGAAAGGUGCAAUUGCACCACUACCAGAUGGACCUGCGUUGUAUUAGCUAGUAGGUGAGGUAACGGCUCACCUAGGCGACGAUACAUAGCCGACCUGAGAGGGUGAUCGGCCACACUGGGACUGAGACACGGCCCAGACUCCUACGGGAGGCAGCAGUAGGGAAUCUUCGGCAAUAGACGAAAGUCUGACCGAGCAACGCCGCGUGAGUGAAGAAGGUUUUCGGAUCGUAAAGCUCUGUUGUAAGAGAAGAACGGGUGUGAGAGUGGAAAGUUCACACUGUGACGGUAUCUUACCAGAAAGGGACGGCUAACUACGUG